rnacentral:lncRNA from 1 species
CGAUUGUGAGAUUGAGAGAAAUGUGAGGUUUGGUGUGAGGGAGAUUGUGAGAGUUGAUGAGCGUUUUCGAGAGCGGAGAGAGACUUCAUUGAGGUUCUUUGUGUGAAGCAGAUGGGGAGGACGAGGACGAUGAAGCUGCUUCUGUGUUCUCCGUUUCCAUUUUCUUGUUUUUUCUUUUUUAAUUCUUUUAUUAUAUAAUUUAUUUCAUUUUUAGCACAAAAAUCAGAAAAAUGUAUAUGUUCUUAUUUUCUUUUAUUAUUAUUAUUUAUUUUUUAUUUAGCUUAAUUUGUUUUUAACAGAGAUAUUAAAAAACCAUAAAAAUGUUUAUUUUGUUUUUUUUUAUUUUGUUAUAAAUUUGUUAGCCCAGUUCAUAUAUUUAUGGUAGUACCUCAAUAGCAGAUAGUGUUGAGUGGCCUAGUGGAGAGAGGGCAGUUGCAUAAUAUUAGGUGGGGAGGGUUCAAUACUCAUGUGUGGUACUUUUUGCUUUUUAUUUGAUUUUAUUUUCCUUUAGCAUUUUUUAUUCUUUUGGUAUUUUGUUAAUAUCUUUUUUUAUGUUUAUUAUAAUUUCAUUUGUUAGUAAAUGCAUAGUUCAAAAACCAUUUUUUUCAAACUAUAAAAAUCAUACUUUUCUCGAUUUAAUAUCGAGCCCCCUUUUUUUUUUACACCCUUGUAAGUCGAUUGCUUUUUAAGCAUCGUGUCGCAUCCUGCGAAAAAUCAACCGGCGAAGCUCGAAAACAAAACACACACAGAGCCGCCACUGCGCGUUAUUUAUCCCAAGAUAGGGAAAGGAAACGCUCAGAGA